GGAAGCCGUCGUCUAAUUAGGAAAGAUGCUCGUCUCCAAAACGAGAAAAUGAAGGUGCGAACCCUUCCGGCUUCCAC
rnacentral:tRNA from 1 species